ACUAACUUGUGAAUCUAUGUUAUUAGUCAUAGUCAUCAAUUGUGGAUUUUGUCUACAUUCUAAAAGUCAUUGAAAGAUUCCAGUGAAUUGUCCACAUGGCUAAAUUAGCUAGUGGCUUGAGGUUGGUAUAAAGUCGGGUUCCGCCUCAAAUGUAUCAUUGCUUAUGUCUGUGAUUUUAUGGUGUUAUCUUCCCUUCUAUCAGUUGUGGGAUCUCGUUUCCUAUUGUUGGUAAGAUCCUGACCCUGGAGUUGAUAAACUUUCAAGCUCG
rnacentral:lncRNA from 1 species